rnacentral:rRNA from 1 species
UACAGAGGGUGCGAGCGUUGUCCGGAAUCACUGGGCGUAAAGCGCACGUAGGCGGAUCUUUAAGUCAGGGGUGAAAUCCUGGAGCUCAACUCCAGAACUGCCUUUGAUACUGGGGAUCUCGAGUCCGGAAGAGGUGAGUGGAACUCCGAGUGUAGAGGUGAAAUUCGUAGAUAUUCGGAAGAACACCAGUGGCGAAGGCGGCUCACUGGUCCGGUACUGACGCUGAGGUGCGAAAGCGUGGGGAGCAAACAGG